rfam:Picea glauca, whole genome shotgun sequence.
GGUAAUUUGGCGGAGCGGUCUGAGUCGCUAGAUUUAGGUUGUCAUUGGAAAGGGUGCAGGUUCAAAUCCUACAAUUAUCA